AACGAACGCUGGCGGCAGGCCUAACACAUGCAAGUCGAGCGCCCUUUCGGGGGAGCGGCGGCCGGGUGAGUAACGCGUGGGAAUAUGCCCUUCUCUACGGAAUAGCCUCGGGAAACUGAGAGUAAUACCGUAUACGCCCUGUGGGGGAAAGAUUUAUCGGGGAUGGAUUAGCCCGCGUGGGAUUAGGUAGUUGGUGGGGUAAUGGCCUACCAAGCCGACGAUCCAUAGCUGGUUUGAGAGGAUGAUCAGCCACACUGGGACUGGGACACGGCCCAGACUCCUACGGGAGGCAGCAGUGGGGAAUCUUAGACAAUGGGGGCAACCAUGAGCGAGCCAUGCCGCGUGAGUGAUGAAGGCCUGAGAGUUGUAAAGCUCUUUCAGCUGGGAAGAUAAUGACGGUACCAGCAGAAGAAGCCCCGGCUAACUCCGUG
rnacentral:rRNA from 1 species